GGGGCUGUAGCUCAGUUGGGAGAGCGAUUGGUUCGCAAUCAAUAGGUCGAGGGUUCGAUCCCCUUCAGCUCCACCA
rnacentral:tRNA from 7 species